CUUUCCAUCAGUAAGAAAAGCUCUCAGACAUCUCCCCAGUUCGGCUCCCUUUGUUGCCACUGGGUUUUUGGUAAAUGUUUUCUCAGAUCUCACGUAUGCAUCAUUGCUCCCACGCCAUCACUGAAAUCCUUUCUAGAAAGAAGAAGAAGAAAAAGAAGAAGAAGAAAAAAAUCAAUCUUAAAGCCGUUAUUGCAAUGCAUUGUUGAUGAGCACAGGAGUGGCAGACAGCUCCGCUUGGGCUGUCCUAUGGCUGCCUGCAGGUUGAAGCCACCGGGCCGAGCCAAGCAGCUCCGAGGGAGCCAGCAGGAGACGCCAGGCCGGGCCAACACACACCCUGUGCAUCAGCUUACACUUAUACAGGCAGCAAAAAGAGUGUGGAGAAAAAUCUACGAGGAAUAAAUAACUUUCUGAGUGGGAGAUGGAUUUAGAUCUCUAGAGUUUUCUCAACUGCAAGUGAAAUUCUGCACUGAAAUUUUUACUUAUGUGCAAGUGUGACAGACAGCUUGAUUACAGAAAGCCGUGUGCUUAUUAGGACUGGGCUGAGUCUCGUGAUGUGACGGCCUCGAGUAAAACACCACAGUUUAAAGGCAUUUCUGAAAAAAAAAAAUAAUAAAAUGGAAAAAAAAAAAGAAAAAGACAUUAUCUAAUAGAUUUAAUUUAAAACAUUAUGGCAACAACUGACUCCUUUGGUAAGAUAGCAAGCAAAUAUUGCCUUUCUGUGGUCCCUAACUGGUGACUGGAUUGGAAGGUUUUCUACGCCAGCUAGUAUUUCGCUGUGGGUCCCACUGCCAACGGUGUUUCUUCACUUCAAGUUAUCCUUCUUCUUUGUCCUUUCUGGUUUGUUGGACCCGUCAGUGUGCAGGUAGCUGCUGCCACUACAUUUUGUGCAUCAACAGCUGGUUGCUGCUGGCAUCUUUCUUGGAUCGCGUUGUUGGUACCUUAGUCAUGCAUAGAGAUGCCACAUUUGACAAACCUUAACUUUGUUCAAAUCUUUCUCAGAAUGGUCCAGGUAUCAUGUUUGGAGAAGGAAAGCUGACGUCAAAGAACAUCAGAUAUAUCCUGGCUUUCUGCCAAGUGGUGCACCAUCAAAAGAUUACCGAAGCGCCUCUAUUGAACGCAUCUUCUUUUCCAACACUAGUGGAAAAAUCGGUGAUCCUUUAAAAUCUUAAAGCCAUCAGGAAAAACAGUAGCACUUUGAUCUCAUCCCAAAUCAUCUUGAGGCUAUUCAGCUGAGCAGAGAAGACAUUGUAUAAAAUAUUUGUAGCCUCU